rnacentral:rRNA from 1 species
UACGGAAGGCAGCAGUGGGGAAUAUUGCACAAUGGGCGCAAGCCUGAUGCAGCCAUGCCGCGUGUAUGAAGAAGGCCUUCGGGUUGUAAAGUACUUUCAGUUGUGAGGAAGGUGUUAAGGUUAAUAACCUUAGCAAUUGACGUUAGCGACAGAAGAAGCACCGGCUAACUCCGUGCCAGCAGCCGCGGUAAUACGGAGGGUGCGAGCGUUAAUCGGAAUUACUGGGCGUAAAGGGCACGCAGGCGGUUAAUUAAGUUGGAUGUGAAAUCCCCGGGCUUAACCUGGGAAUGGCAUUCAAGACUGGUUAGCUAGAGUCUUGUAGAGGGGGUAGAAUUCCAUGUGUAGCGGUGAAAUGCGUAGAGAUGUGGAGGAAUACCGGUGGCGAAGGCGGCCCCUGGGACAAAGACUGACGCUCAUGUGCGAAAGCGUGGGGAGCAAACAGGAUUAGAUACC